CCACACCAAAAAAAUACCCACGUGAAUGUAUUCUUUAUAAGGCUCGUGCUAGGUUGUUUUUCGGAACGACCCGGCUAGCCGAAGGUUUCGCAAGGAACCGAUGACUUUAAAUCCCUUUAAAUAAAAUACUGAAAACUUAGCCGUCAGAAAUGAUAGCUUUUAAUUAAAAUAC
rnacentral:misc_RNA from 1 species